UACAGAGGUGGCAAGCGUUGUUCGGAAUUACUGGGCGUAAAGGGCGCGUAGGCGGUCUUCUAAGUCUUGUGUGAAAUCCCUCGGCUCAACUGAGGAACUGCACGGGAUACUGGAAGACUUGAGUUCGGGAGAGGGAUGCGGAAUUCCGGGUGUAGUGGUGGAAUGCGUAGAGAUCCGGAGGAACACCAGCGGCGAAGGCGGCAUCCUGGACUGGUCCUGACACUCAUGAGCGAAAGCGUGGGGAGCGAUCCGG
rnacentral:rRNA from 1 species